rnacentral:rRNA from 1 species
UUAACACAUGCAAGUCGAGGGGAAACGAUAGAGAAAGCUUGCUUUUUCUAGGCGUCGACCGGCGCACGGUGAGUACUGCGUAUCCAACCUGCCCAUCACUUGGGGAUAACCUUGCGAAAGUAAGACUAAUACCCAAUGACGUCCAUAGAAGACAUCUGAAGGAGAUUAAAGAUUUAUCGGUGAUGGAUGGGGAUGCGUCUGAUUAGCUUGUUGGCGGGGUAACGGCCCACCAAGGCGACGAUCAGUAGGGGUUCUGAGAGGAAGGUCCCCCACAUUGGAACUGAGACACGGUCCAAACUCCUACGGGAGGCAGCAGUGAGGAAUAUUGGUCAAUGGACGAGAGUCUGAACCAGCCAAGUAGCGUGCAGGAUGACGGCCCUAUGGGUUGUAAACUGCUUUUAUAAGGGAAUAAAGUGAGUCUCGUGAGACUUUUUGCAUGUACCUUAUGAAUAAGGACCGGCUAAUUCCGUGCCAGCAGCCGCGGUAAUACGGAAGGUCCGGGCGUUAUCCGGAUUUAUUGGGUUUAAAGGGAGCGUAGGCCGGAGAUUAAGCGUGUUGUGAAAUGUAGACGCUCAACGUCUGCACUGCAGCGCGAACUGGUUUCCUUGAGUACGCACAAAGUGGGCGGAAUUCGUGGUGUAGCGGUGAAAUGCUUAGAUAUCACGAAGAACUCCGAUUGCGAAGGCAGCUCACUGGAGCGCAACUGACGCUGAAGCUCGAAAGUGCGGGUAUCGAACAGGAUUAGAUACCCUGGUAGUCCGCACGGUAAACGAUGGAUGCCCGCUGUUGGUCUGAAUAGGUCAGCG